rnacentral:rRNA from 1 species
AUUGAACGCUGGCGGCAUGCUUUACACAUGCAAGUCGAACGGUAACAGGCCUUCGGGUGCUGACGAGUGGCGAACGGGUGAGUAAUGCAUCGGAACGUACCCAGAGGUGGGGGAUAACGCAGCGAAAGCUGUGCUAAUACCGCAUGUGAUCUGAGGAUGAAAGCGGGGGACCGAGCAGCAAUGUUUGGCCUCGCGCCUUUGGAGCGGCCGAUGUCGGAUUAGCUAGUUGGUGGGGUAAAGGCCUACCAAGGCGGCGAUCCGUAGCUGGUCUGAGAGGACGGCCACCCACACUGGGACUGAAACACGGCCCAGACUCCUACGGGACGCAGCAGUGGGGAAUUUUGGACAAUGGGCGCAAACCUUAUCCAGCAAUGCCGCGUGCGAGAAGAAGGCCUUCGGGUUGUAAACCGCUUUUGUCAGGAACGAAACGGUGUCCGCUAAUACCGGGCGCUAAUGACGGUACCUGCAAAAUAAGCACCGGCUAACUACGUG